rnacentral:rRNA from 1 species
CUUGGUGUUUAUGGCGUAGUGGGUACACCUGUCAUCAUUCCGAACACAGAAGUUAAGCACUACCGCGAUCGUUCUAGUUGGCUUUAAAGCCUGUGAAAAACGAUUCAACGCCAAGU